AUUGAACGCUGGCGGCAUGCCUUACACAUGCAAGUCGAACGGCAGCGGGGACUUCGGUCCGCCGGCGAGUGGCGAACGGGUGAGUAAAGUAUCGGAACGUACCUUUCAGUGGGGGAUAACUGUCCGAAAGGACAGCUAAUACCGCAUAUUCUGUGAGCAGGAAAGCAGGGGAUCGCAAGACCUUGCGCUGAUUGAGCGGCCGAUAUCAGAUUAGCUAGUUGGUGAGGUAAAGGCUCACCAAGGCGACGAUCUGUAGCGGGUCUGAGAGGAUGAUCCGCCACACUGGAACUGAGACACGGUCCAGACUCCUACGGGAGGCAGCAGUGGGGGAAUUUUGGACAAUGGGGGCGAACCCUGAUCCAGCCAUGCCGCGUGAGUGAAGAAGGCCUCGGUUGUAAGUAC
rnacentral:rRNA from 1 species